CCGCCCGGUGCCCAGGCCCGUCCCGGCCCGGGAGCCGCCGCGGCGCCAGCCCCGCCGCCUCUGCAGCGUCCGCCGCCGCCAGCGCCCCCCGUCGCGGCCGCCGAGCGUCCCUCCCGCAGGCUGUGGCGGGCGGCGGGACGGGUUGCAUCAGCCCCGGCUAUAUAGCGGCCCCUGGGCGGCGGGGAGGGGUCGGGAAUGCGGAACCGGCGGAGCUGCCAGCUCCAGACGUCAGAGGGGGACGGAGAGGAAGGGAAGGAGGGGACAGGGGAGGAGGGGGUGUGGAUCCGGCGCUUCACACCCACUGACCUUCACCUCCCCCGCCGCCUCCGGCGCCCUCCUCCCGCCGCCGCUCGCGCUCCUCUGCCCGCAGGGGCGGCCGGGCCCCCGGCUCGCCGGCCCGGGCUCCACAGCGGCCCGGGGCGCUCCCACCCCGCGGCUCAGGAGCGCGCGAGAAAGCAGGACGCGGAGCUCGGUUAUGUAAGAGCAUCCCCCGCGCUCCGCCGCCCGGCUGCCACCCCCGGGACACGAGCGCGGCCCCGGGAGGCAGAAAGCAGAAGGCGGCAGUGGGACAAGCCAAGAGCCCCUUGGAGUAGAGCCUGUGGGGGACCAUCUUCCGCCGUCCUCGGCGCUCUCCCCCAGACCCACAGCACACAGUUGCGUCCUUGGACACUUCAGGACUGAGUGGUGAGGAGGUGAUCUCGCAAGCCGGUUUUGCUUUUCUGUGAAGGAUAGGCAGAGGAUUGUUAUCUUGGAAGAGCCUUUUCAGCGUCCCUCAGUCUUGAGAUCACCCGGUGCAUGAGCUUGUCCUCCUGGAGGGCUGCCCCCGAGACCACUGCUGUCUCCGUGGCUGGCCCAGUUUGGCCCCGGGCUUUUUGCCCUAGUCUAGCAGGCUUCUCCUCUCCAGGGACAGACAGCAGUGAACAGACCAGCUCUCCGUAGACUCCCAGUGGCCUUCUUCCCCAGCAGGACUUCCAUGGCCAGCUCCACUCCUACCUCCCAUCCUUCUAAACAGGUAGAUGGUAAAGGAGACCCCAGAGGAAAUGUUUCAUCCAUGGUGCCCUCCACUCUGCGAAAGCGGAGACACAGAGCCCUCAGGCAGAAACAUGGCACCUGCCUCCAGGGUACCCAGCCUUCCUUUCUGCCUAAGCUAGAUAGGGAUGGCAACACUUAUGCUCAGUGACCUUCAGCCUCUUUCUCAGAGUGAUGACAGGUCAUCACCCAAAGAAGAAAGGAAGUGAAAGAAACAGUUCAUGCCUUGUUGGAGUGCAGAUGCUCAGAGUGAAAGGAACAGGACUUGAGACCAGAUGGGAGCACAUGAGCCAAGCGCAGCACGCAUGUCUCCUCAAUGUGGUGCGUGGAAGCUACAUUCCCCUGGUUUCCAAGGCACUGAAAUCUUUCUGUACAAGAGAACUGGUCUUAUGGAAAGACCCAAGUUCUGAUGCCAUUGCCUGUCCGUUUCACCAUGACCAUCAGCAAGCUCUCUCACAACACUGAUGGAGGAAAGUAAGGCCCUAAAAGAACACAUAUGGCAACUGAGCAGUAAUGUGAUAGACUUGUGGGAGAAGAGGCCUCGGAGAGGCCAACUACACCUUUAUUCCAGCACAGAGAUCAAAGCUGGGUGCUGAGAAACUGCCCUGUGAUGUUUCUCCCGCAAGACUAGGGUCUGGACAUUUAUAUGGAAGAAAACAGUGAACAGGGGCAACAUGAUUUUAUGUGUCUUCUGCUGGGACUUUGAAAAAACUAAACUGAUCUACACGCAGGGACUAAUAAUUUACGUGUGUGGUUACCACCAGCCCUCUCCAGGGCCUACUUUGGCCCACAGUAGAGCCGCUGGCAGUCCUAGUGGGCCUUUGCUUCCCCCCACAAAUUAAAUAUGCUCCAGGGGUGGCACCAAGGUGUGACUGGCGAUCUUUACCACCACCACCAUCCCACUGGCUUAUAAUAUCCGUUUAAUCUCCCCGUUAUUUGAUAUGGAUGUUUUUCAACUCUAUAUAGGAUGCUGUACAAACAGCUCAGGGCCACCUUCCCACCACAUUGCCCCCUACCAGGUCCCUCUGCUUAGCCACUGCCUCUAGGAGUGGCUGGAGACAGAGGCCAUAAACUGGCUCCUUUGUGCAGACAUCAUCCUGCUUCUUCUCCCUGAGUUGUCUGAUGCAACAGAUUUGCCUCUGGCUUUUAGGCUCAGACAGUGGCCCAGCCUAAGGCAAUUCAAAUUUAGGUUUCCUAUCACUUGCAACUAGAAAAGUCCUCAUUAAGAUACCCAGCCCUGGCCAGUGGCUGAUUCAGAAACUGUCUUGCAUCCCUGGUAAAGCUGAGGAGACUAGGAAUUUGGUGGAUCUCCUGGGAAGAGAAGUUGCCAGAAGCUGGACCUGAAUCUGAAAGGGGUCUACCAAGAAUAUAGCUAAUGCAAAAGAAGAGGAGAGAGGAGAAGAGCCAAGCCAGGAAGGGGAAGACAGAAUGUCCUCAUUAAUAAAUGAGUUUUGUAUCACUGACUUGUUUGGACUAUUUCAUUUUAAAGUUCAAUGUACAUCAGUGAAUCCCAGGCUCUUUACAAAGAAGAAAAAGUGAAAUUGUAAGU
rnacentral:lncRNA from 1 species